AAGAGUUUAUAAAAUCUACACAAAAUAACAUAUUGAAAUCUAUUCACCUUUUUGUAAUUUUUUGCCUAGGGCCAGGUUGGAAAUGCAGGACUGGUCCCCUGCAGCAAAGUUUUAGCUACAGGUCCAGAAAUAAUCACUUCCGAGGCUCUGCUUCUCCCCAGAUGCUGAAUGCCAUUACUUUGGACUUAAACAUCAGAAUUCUUUAUAACAAAUAAGGAUCCAGACUGACAGUGUAGUUCAGUUGACAGAACAGAGGGAUGAUUCACGGGAUGAAUAUACUAGCAUCUACAAUAAUAACAUUAGUGCAGAAAUGUGGAAAUGCCAGAUCACAGCUUGGACCAGUGACUCAGCAUCUGGUGGGAAAGCAGGGCCAACCCAGGG
rnacentral:lncRNA from 1 species